rnacentral:tRNA from 1 species
ACCUGGCUGGUUCAGUUGGAAGAGCAUGUGACUCUUGAUCUUGGGGUUGUGAGUUCAAGCCUCACGCUGGGUG